rfam:Gorilla gorilla gorilla genomic chromosome, chr7, whole genome shotgun sequence
GCUGCAUAUGGUGGUGCAUACCCAGUCCCAGCUACUUGGGAGGCUGAGGCAAGAUGAUUGCUUGAGCCCAGGAGUCCUGGGCUGUAGUGCACUAUGCCAGUCUGGUGUCCGCAUUAAGUCUGGCAUCAGUAUGGUGACCUUGAUCUCCCAGGAGCAAGGGACCACCAGGUUGCCUAAGGAGGAGUGAACUAGCCCAGGUUGAAAACAGAGCAGGUCAGUACUCUGGUGCUGCUCAGUAGCAGGAUCACACCUGUGAAUACCCACUGCAAUUUAGCCUGGGCAACAUAGCAAGACCCUGUCUUAG